rnacentral:lncRNA from 1 species
UCAAUUAGGCGGGUAGCGUUCUCAAGGCUAGCCUUUAAUUUGUAACCUCUCUGAAGUGUGUUUGUUGGUCAUAAGAGGUAGGGAUGAAAUCGGGUUGGAUUGGGUUGGCUUGGGAGACAUUCUUAACUCAAUCAUAUUUUCGGGUUAUUUAGGUUACCAACUCGAAUUUAGUUUCUAAUUCAACCCAGCCCAACCCGUAAAAUAUGAGUUGGGUUGUCGGGUUGUAUAGUUUUUUUUUUUUUCGUUUCUAGUUUCUAAUGGUUAUAAAAGUUCAAAACUAUU